GAUUAGCUCAGUUGGUUAGAGCACCUGCCUUACAAGCAGGGGGUCACAGGUUCGAGUCCUGUAUCGCC
rnacentral:tRNA from 5 species